CUUGGGCAUCCUUCUCUGAAAUCCACCAUCAUGUUUACCUCUCAACUGAAUCUUGUCAAAAAUCCCCCAAAUUAAUUUUAAGAUCUGAUGACAGUUGUUUGUAAGGUUAUAAGUUACUUGCAUGCACUGCUUUCCCUCCUACCCUUACCUAAGGGCUUUAAGAAAGAACAAGAGGGGAUAAUAGACCAAGGAAAUGUCAAGGCAAGUGUGUUUAACCCAGAACUAGAUGUCUGAGUGAUAAUUGCAAGAGUUUGACUAAGAGCACACAGAUUACCUCUCAGAUAAAUAAGCAAAGGCAACCUGCAGAGAGAGAGUUUGUUAGAAGGCCGGUCAGAACUUGGGUUAACUUUAAAGUUACUGGGAUUGUGUUGGCAAUGGGGCAGGGAAAGGGGUUUGCGUUGACCCUAGGCUUGGCUGCUGGUUUCACAGAUGGAGCCAAUAUCUAGGCGACUUCUCGUCUCCGGGCUGACUGAUCGCUUGUUCCCUAUCAGAAAACAAACCAGGAGUCGCCCGAGAUAUGGGGGGUUGGGCCUCUCGCCCUGCUCCAGGGCCGCCUGAAACCCGGGAGAGAGCCGCAGCUCUGACAAGAGAGAUUGCCAGCAGCCUGGCCUGUUCG
rnacentral:lncRNA from 1 species